UGUUGGGAAGUUCGUUUGAAAGCGCACGUUCGGAGCUGCUUCACGUACUGGGAGCGCACUUAAGUCAAAAGUCAUCAGCAUCAUGAGCCUCGCCAAAGGAAAUUCAGUUACACUGAAAACAUUUCUGGCAUAUAACAAAGGGUUUGCAGUUCAUGAAGAUGUGUGGUGGGGAAAAAAAUUGUGUUGAGAGAAUGCAACCUGAUGGAACGUGUGGAUUGAUGUUGGACGAACUGUGACGUGUGAAGACUUUCUGGAAGUCCGUAUCGUGACGAGGGCUGCGUCACGUGUCGUCAUCUGGUUGAACUAAGGUUUAGUUCAAUGUCACGAAGCGACUCUGACCGAGGAGGGGGGAGGCCGAAACGUGUCCCGACCACGGGAACUUCCCCAGAUGACAGACGAUAUAAAGACUGGCCCCAGAUCAGCUGAUUCGACCAAAGCCGCCGAGACUGCAUCAACAACUUCAGCAGCUUCUUCAUAACCAACUUGUGAUUUGUUCCCAUAAGAAAAUAUGUCAGUAAUCGCUACACCUCCGUGAAGAUGGAGCGACGUGGAAGCUUUGCACCGGCCGCACGGCGACUUACCGAGAUGACACGCCGGCCGGUGAGAUGGCAGCUGCUUGGAUUUCUUUCAAGAUAGAUUGUAUAUUUUAAUGUCGAGACAUGAAAGGAAUGAUGCAAAUGUUGCAAAAGGACUUUUGCAAUUGUGCUGGACCAGCUGGCGGGCACGGCUAUUGUGCAAUUUAAACAUUUGAACGCAUUUGGAAUAAUAAACCGUAAUUUCAAUCAACGCAUCAUCAGUUUUAUAUUUUGCUGCCGUGCGUGAGAAAAAAAAAAUGAAAUAAAAAUCAUGCGCGUGCAUAUGAUGGGAGCAACGAUCCUGCUUUUCUGGGUGCACUUUACAACUUUGACAAUAAAAUGUGAUUUAUUA